UACGGAGGAUGCGAGCGUUAUCCGGAUUUAUUGGGUUUAAAGGGUGCGUAGGCGAGAUGCCAAGUCAGCGGUAAAAAUGCGGUGCUCAACGCCGUCGAGCCGUUGAAACUGGCGUUCUUGAGUGGGCGAGAAGUAUGCGGAAUGCGUGGUGUAGUGGUGAAAUGCAUAGAUAUCACGCAGAACUCCGAUUGCGAAGGCAGCAUACCGGCGCCCUACUGACGCUGAGGCACGAAAGCGUGGGUAUCGAACAGG
rnacentral:rRNA from 1 species